rnacentral:rRNA from 1 species
GAUGAACGCUGGCUACAGGCUUAACACAUGCAAGUCGAGGGGCAGCAUGCCGGUUGCUUGCAACCGGUGAUGGCGACCGGCGCACGGGUGAGUAACGCGUAUCCAACCUUCCCGCGACCAAGGGAUAACCUGCCGAAAGGCAGACUAAUACCUUAUGUCCUCCUUUGAAGGCAUCUGACGAGGAGCAAAGAUCCGUCGGUCACGGAUGGGGAUGCGUCCGAUUAGCUUGUUGGCGGGGCAACGGCCCACCAAGGCUUCGAUCGGUAGGGGUUCUGAGAGGAAGGCCCCCCACACUGGAACUGAGACACGGUCCAGACUCCUACGGGAGGCAGCAGUGAGGAAUAUUGGUCAAUGGGCGGAAGCCUGAACCAGCCAAGUAGCGUGCAGGACGACGGCCCUACGGGUUGUAAACUGCUUUUAUGCGGGGAUAAAGUUGCCCACGUGUGGGCUUUUGCAGGUACCGCAUGAAUAAGGACCGGCUAAUUCCGUGCCAGCAGCCGCGGUAAUACGGAAGGUCCGGGCGUUAUCCGGAUUUAUUGGGUUUAAAGGGAGCGCAGGCCGCCGUGCAAGCGUGCCGUGAAAAGCAGCGGCCCAACCGCUGCCCUGCGGCGCGAACUGCUUGGCUUGAGUGCGCCGGAAGCGGGCGGAAUUCGUGGUGUAGCGGUGAAAUGCUUAGAUAUCACGAAGAACCCCGAUUGCGAAGGCAGCCCGCUGUGGCGCCACUGACGCUGAGGCUCGAAGGUGCGGGUAUCGAACAGG